CGCCGUCUCCACGAAGCGCACCGGAAUCACCUGCUCCCACCGCGCGAACGCGCGCCGCAACGCCGCCGCCACGUCAGCGCGGCUUAUGUAGGUAAUGGUGUGCGCCGUCGACAGGGCGUAGGUCAGCGUCAGCGGCCUCUGGCCGGCCCAACGCGGCUUGCCGGGGAAGAAGGUGAACCUCUCGGUCAAACCGGUUCGGUUCGGCGCCGUCGCGGCGACCGCGUCAGGGACGCCGCAGCGGGGGGUCAUCAGUUGGGAGAGCGUGGCGGCGUCGAGCUUGCCGGUGACGGGGAGGCCGUGAUUAGUCUGGUACAGAAAGACGGCGGACUCGAGCCGGGCGUCGAAGGCGUCGGAGUCCAGCUCGGCCCGAUCAGGUCCAGGAGGUGGACGAAGGAACCCCACGCGUCGUUUGUAGUGACGGAUUUGAAGACGGUUCUCUGUUCGUCGUGUUGGAGCUGAUCGUGGAGGGGUCGAAGCGCCGCCGAGAAGGGAAAGUAGAAUAAUAAGAGAGGCAGAAGAAGGGGAAGACGAGGAGGCAUGAGAAUAGAAAGAUAAGAGGAGAGAAAGAUUUGGGGUUUGGAUUCUGAUCGACGGAGGAAGAAUCUAGAGACACACUUGAUGGUUAAUAUGGUUGGAAUUGUGUUCGUCGAUGCUGACUUCUUAGUUUUGUCGUUGACUCCUCAAUCAUGUGAUCCUUCCUGACCUGGUUAACUGUCUUAAACAACAUCGAAUCAGAUUCACAGUA